ensembl:snRNA U6 U6 spliceosomal RNA
GUGCUUGCUUCAGCAGCACAUGUACUAAAAUUGGAAUGACACAGAGAAGAUCAGCAUGGCUCUUUCACAAGGAUGACACGCAAAUUCGCAAAGUGUUCCAUAUUUUU